GUCUUGGUGGCUCAGUUGGCUAGAGCGUUGGUCUCAUAUUUUCAUGAUUCAACCACAGGUUGGGCUAUCCAAAGGUCGUGAGUUCGAGCCUCACCCAGGACA